rnacentral:rRNA from 1 species
GAUUUCUGGCGAAACUGCUAGCUGGCCCGCCACGUCAGUGUGUGAGUGCCGGCUUGGCGUUUGCCAUCCGUUCGAAUGAUAUGGAUACUGCCCUUCAUUGGGUUGGUAUUUCAUGUUUUCGAUCUUUUACUUUGAAAAAAUUAGAGUGUUUCAAGCAGGCAUUUUUGCUAUGAAUACAUUAGCAUGGAAUAAUAAUCUAGGACUUUCGGUUCUAUUUUGUUGGUGUUCUGGAGCUGAAGUAAUGAUUGAUAGGGAUAGUUGGGGGUGCUAGUAUUCAAUGGCCAGAGGUGAAAUUCUUGGAUUCGGUCAAGACUAACUUAUGCGAAAGCAUU